CUUCUGCCUCACACCCCUGGCCCGCCCUGGAGUUCUUCCCUCCUGGGCAAGCCCGGAUUUUGGUGCUUGCCUGUCCUGUAUCGCUUUCAUCUGGAUUUCCUCCCAUGUGAAAUUAGCUGUGCAGAUCCUCCCCUUUUUUUUUUCUAUUGAAUCAUUUUCCUCUUAUCAAUACGUAUGUUCUCUUUCUAUAUGAAGUUAUAUGCAGAUUCAGAAGAGAAGGCAUCAGGCAAGUUCCUUCUCCGGCCCCUGUUCCCAUCUCUCUCUGCCCUGCUUCUCCGGCCCCUGCUCCCAUCUCUCUCUGCCCUGUUUCUCUGGCCCUUGCUCUCAUCUCUCUCUGCCCUGCUGGGAGGCAUCCAGCCUUCUUCACCACAGGGAACAUGGAGUUCAAAAGAUUGCACACACCUUAAUGCUGUUGACAGCUGCCCCAGUGGCAAAGGGACAUGUUUUCAUCACCUACACCUUGUUUGGCCAGUUAGAGGGCUGUGUUUCUCAGAGUCAGGAAGUCCUGGGCCAGGUGGAGGAAAGAAAUGGCGCAGCCACCUCUGGCCUCCUCCUGCUCCUCCUGGAUCUGGGAGAUGGCACCCAGCCAAGCCCUCCAUGCCCUGCCUUGCUAAGAUGGAGUUUAGAGCACAGGAUAUUGAUCAAGGACCCAUGCCUGGGAAAGGGGCAGAGAGAGAAGCCCAGCAAGAUGCACCCUGGCCCAGCCUUGGCACCCUCAGGGAGCCCUGGGCUGUGGGGCCUGUUAGAGUUGCUGCAGGUGGGCAGGAAGGGCUGGGCAUUCAUACCCCCCACAGCUGGUCCCGGGUAAGGUGACCAUCUGCAGCUGAGGCAGCCUGAAUGAAGGACAGCUGGAGGUGUCUGAGGCUGCUCUCCCAAUGCUGGAGGGCAGGGCCUUCCCUGGUGGGGUCCGAAGGGGCAUUUCCAUGCCCAGCUCAUACAGGAAGCUUAUUGGAGCCUCGCAUCUGGAAAGCACUACAGACCGCACCGCAGACCGCACGACAGACCGCACCGCAGACCGCACGACA
rnacentral:lncRNA from 1 species